rnacentral:misc_RNA from 2 species
AACGCACAUUGCGCCUUCCAGUACUCUGGGAGGCAUGCCUGUCCGAGCGUCGUUUCAACCCUCAAGCCCUCGUGGUUUGGUGUUGGAGUCCUACAGUCUUGUAGUCUCCCAAAACCAGUGGCGGACCCGUCGCGGCCCUUCCUUUGCGUAGUAGCAUUCGCCUCGCAUCGGGAGCCCACGGGACUUUCUAGCCUCUAAACCCCCCACAAGUCCGCUCCGGCGGCACAAGGUUGACCUCGGAUCAGGUAGGAAUACCCGCUGAACUUAA